UACGGAGGGGGCUAGCGUUGUUCGGAAUUACUGGGCGUAAAGCGCGCGUAGGCGGAUCUGCAAGUCGGGGGUGAAAUCCCGAGGCUCAACCUCGGAACUGCCUUCGAUACUGCGGGUCUCGAGUCCGGGAGAGGUGAGUGGAAUUCCUAGUGUAGAGGUGAAAUUCGUAGAUAUCCGGAGGAACACCAGUGGCGAAGGCGACUUUCUGGCCUGUUCUUGACGCUGAGGCGCGAAAGCUAGGGGAGCAAACGGG
rnacentral:rRNA from 1 species